rnacentral:piRNA from 1 species
UUUUGGGGCAAAGACGGAUGAAGGAUGAG